UACGCCAAUAUCACGUUUAACACGCCGGUUCUCGUCUGGUCACCGAAGUUAAGCAACGUGGAGACUGGUCAGGACUUAGAUGGGUGUCCGCUUGGGAAUACCAAGUGCUAUA